GGGGAAUAUUGCACAAUGGGGGAAACCCUGAUGCAGCCAUGCCGCGUGUGUGAAGAAGGCCUUCGGGUUGUAAAGCACUUGCAGUCAGGAGGAUGGUGGUGUAGCCAAUACCUGCACCAAUUGACGUCACUGACAGAGCAAGCCCCUGCCAACUCCGUGCCAGCAGCCGCGGUAAUACGGAGGGUGCGAGCGUUAAUCGGAAUUACUGGGCGUAAUGCGUGCGCAGGCGGUUUGUUAAGCGAGAUGUGAAAGCCCCGGGCUCAACCUGGGAUGGUCAUUUCGAACUGGCAAGCUAGAGUCUCGUAGAGGGGGGUAGAAUUCCAGGUGUAGCGGUGAAAUGCGUAGAGAUCUGGAGGAAUACCGGUGGCGAAGGCGGCCCCCUGGACGAAGACUGACGCUCAGGCACGAAAGCGUGGGGAGCAAACA
rnacentral:rRNA from 1 species